rnacentral:rRNA from 1 species
CCCUUAGAUGUUCUGGGCCGCACGCGCGCUACAAUGAUGCAACCAACGAGUGCUGCUCCUUGGCCGAGAGGCUCGGGGAACCUUGCAAACUGCAUCGUGCUGGGGAUAGAUGAUUGCAAUUCUUCAUCUUGAACGAGGAAUGCCUUGUAAGCGUGAGUCAUCAACUCGCGCUGAAUACGUCCCUGCCCUUUGUACACACCGCCCGUCGCUCCUACCGAUUGGAUGGCCCGGUGAAGUGGUCGGAUCGGUGGCGCCCGCGCGGUCGCGUGGGAAGCCCCGAGAAGUCCAGUGAGCCUUGCCAUCUAGAGGAAGGAGAAGUCGUANCA